AGAGUUUGAUCCUGGCUCAGAAUCAACGCUGGCGGCGCGCUUAACACAUGCAAGUCGAGCGAGAAAGGGGAGCAAUCCCUGAGUACAGCGGCGUACGGGUGAGUAACACGUGGGUGAUCUACCUCUUUGUGGGGAAUAACCCUGGGAAACCGGGGCUAAUACCGCAUAAGCCUGAGAAGGGAAAGCGAGCAAUCGCGCAGAGAGAGGAGCCCGCGGCCGAUUAGCUAGUUGGUGAGGUAAUGGCUCACCAAGGCGACGAUCGGUAGCCGGCCUGAGAGGGCACACGGCCACACUGGCACUGAAACACGGGCCAGACUCCUACGGGAGGCAGCAGUGGGGAAUCUUGCACAAUGGAGGCAACUCUGAUGCAGCGACGCCGCGUGAGCGAUGAAGCCCCUCGGGGUGUAAAGCUCUUUCGGCAGGAACGAUCAUGACGGUACCUGAAGAAGAAGCUGCGGCUAACUACGUGCCAGCAGCCGCGGUAAUACGUAGGCAGCGAGCGUUGUUCGGAAUUACUGGGCGUAAAGAGUGUGUAGGCGGUGCUCUAAGUUCGGUGUGAAAUCUCCUGGCUUAACUGGGAGGGUGCGCCGGAAACUGGAAUGCUCGAGCGUGGGAGAGGAAAGCGGAAUUCCUGGUGUAGCGGUGAAAUGCGUAGAUAUCAGGAGGAACACCUGUGGUGUAGACGGCUUUCUGGACCAUAGCUGACGCUGAGACACGAAAGCGUGGGUAGCAAACAGGAUUAGAUACCCCCGUAGUCC
rnacentral:rRNA from 1 species